GACGAAGGGUGCAAGCGUUACUCGGAAUUACUGGGCGUAAAGCGUGCGUAGGUGGUUCGUUAAGUCUGGUGUGAAAGCCCUGGGCUCAACCUGGGAAUGGCAUUGGAAACUGGCGACCUAGAGUGCGGUAGAGGGUAGUGGAAUUCCCGGUGUAGCAGUGAAAUGCGUAGAUAUCGGGAGGAACACCGGUGGCGAAGGCGGCGUCCUGGGUAGAUACUGACGCUGAGGCGCGAAAGCGUGGGGAGCAAACAGG
rnacentral:rRNA from 1 species